rnacentral:lncRNA from 1 species
UUUAUUAACUUUAAUUUUCACUAAAAUUAUCCAGACACUAAUCUAUGUUAUAUAUUUAUCAUGUAUUUAUUAUAUUAUUAUAACUUACACAAGUGUUUUAUCCGAAUUACGUAUCGAGUAGUUAUUUUUUUGUAUAAAAUAAUUUUAUUAAUAUAAAAUUGCAAAUAUGAAUUAGGGCUUUUUUUUGGUACAUAACCAAGUUUUAAAGAAUUUUUGCGAAAAUACUAUCACCUUCUAAAACAAAUUGUAAAAAUACAAUUUUUCUGAAAAUAUUUUCAAAAAUACGGUGGUUGCAUAUGUGAUCAUAUCCGUAACUGCUAGCAACCAUAUGCAACUUUGAGAAAAAGGUUAAAAAUUAUAUUUGUUUGUAUAAUCAGUUGCAACCGGUUGCAAAGAUUGAAUAAUAAAUACCCCUACGGGGCCAUACUAAUAUUACAAAAAUAACCACAAAAUAAAAAUGAACAAGUAUUGCAAUCAAAAAAUCAACUAAAAAUCAACACAAAAAGCAACCAACUUAAAAGAGAUAAGUGGGAUGGUGUAUAGUGGGCGGCUGUUGAUGCCUGAAUCGCCGACCUCAGGUGCAGCAUAAAGAAGGUGAAGCUCGGUAGAAUCAGGAGAAAGUUAGAUUGGUGUUUUGUUUUAAAAGGAUGCGAUUGAACGGCGAUUGCAAAGCCGUGUCUGGCUGAUUAGAGAUGGUAAAGACGGGAGUUGUUGAGCGACGGCAUAACCGCGUUAUUGAUCGUCGAUGGCCGAUAUCAUGACUAAAACAACGGAGUGGCAAGUUAAAAGAGAGAAAGGGAUGCAACAUAUUGUUGUAAAAGAAUAGUUAAUAUAUCAUAUAUUUAAUAUUUGUAAAUUAUUUGAGCAUACCGUAUUUUCGUAAAUAAUUUCCAAAAUUAUGUAUUUGAGAGAAAUUCUUAAUAAAUUAUUUGGAUAUCAAUUAUAAAAUUUUAUUCAUGAAUACACACACUCAUAUAUAUACUACACACACUAUUUAAAAUAUCAUAUACUAUAAGACUAUAAAUGUAUCACAAUUUUCAUACUUGUUAAUUGUCGUUGGGCAUUUUUACAAAAAAUACUCAAGUUGUAAAUUUUUCAAAACCACACCGUAUAUUUAUGUAACAUCAUUUGAAAUCCUUUGUUGUGAAAAUUAACCACUUUCAGCUAAGUUGGAAUCUCAUGUAGGACAACGUUUUUGGAAUUAUAUAAAGUUGAAAAUAGGAGUAUAUUUACAAAAAAAUUUAAAUCAUAUCCUUCUUUUCAAUCACAUAUUAUAUAUAAGAGCUUGUUUUUUUUAAUUUUUUUCAAAAUAAUAUAUUUAGAUAAUUGAACAAUUUUGAAUUGAAAUUUAGAUAAUUGAAAUUCAAUAUUUUAAUAAUAUUAUGAUAAAUAUAUUCAGAAAUUAUUAUGAUGAGUAAAUA